rnacentral:rRNA from 1 species
UUAGGAAUCUUCCACAAUGGGCGAAAGCCUGAUGGAGCGACGCCGCGUGAGGGAUGAAGGCCUUAGGGUUGUAAACCUCUAAAAGAGGGACGAUAAUGACGGUACCUCUUGAAUAGCACCGGCUAACUCCGUGCCAGCAGCUGCGGUAAUACGGAGGGUGCAAGCGUUAUCCGGAAUCACUGGGCGUAAAGGGCGCGUAGGCGGUCUGUUAAGUCCGAUGUUAAAUCCCGGGGCUCAACCCCGGAUAAGCGUUGGAUACUGGCAGGCUAGACGGUUGGAGAGGCGAGUGGAAUUACCAAGGUAGCGGUUGAAUGCGUAGAUACUGGUAGGAACACCCAUUGCGAAGGCAGCUCGCUGGACAACACGUGACGCUGAGGCGCGAAAGUGUUGGGAGCAAACC